UUUGUUGUCUCUGAGGUGGCUGACUAUGGGCUGAUGCUGCGUGGAGCCAGGGGAUAUCAUGCUGCUGGCCUUGGAGAAGCAGUGCCUGUUCUUGCUUGGUGACUUUGUGUUCAUGGGAAGGAGCGUUUCUUUGCCUCUUAAACUGGAGGAGAACACGAAGAGGAUGAAAGGUCCCUAUGGGGGAAGCCAGGGAUCUGGAUCUAUACAGAGAAUGCUCCUUGGAAGUUAAAGUGUGCUGAGUGUUUGGUGUUGCUUUGGGUCUUGCAAGCCUUGGAGGUGAUGUAAAGGGCAAAGGACACCCGCUUAUUAAGCACAGUGGAAUUCUGCAACCCACUGUGGAGUUGGCCAUCCAUCCCAGCAUACUCCGGCACAGCAGGGGAGGAGAAGGGAAGGUGUUUGAGGCAAGGUUUGCAAAGGGGAAUGUGACUGUGCCUGGCCUGAGCCCAGCACGGGCAGCUGUUCCGUGUCUACUGCCUGGGAUUAAAAUAGCCAACAUACUCCUUGUAUCCCACUGCUGUCCGGCCUGUGCGUGAGAAGCAGGGUGCUACAGCAGCACCCAGGGGUGCAGCCCCAUAGUGGCUUUUCCAGCCCGAUGUGCUUGGUGGGGCUGAUGAUUGUAGGGGCAUCUGCAGGGUGCUGCAGUCUAACUGAUGGU